GCGAUCUUGUGUUACUUGUGACUUGUUUCUUUAUUACCACGUGGAUUUUCAGCGCAACCGUUUCUUGAUUAUGUUUUAAAAUGGAUCAGUGACAUCCUAGUCAGAAGUGAACAGAAUCCCAAAGUCACUUGUUCAGUGUUAGGAUGCAAAAUACUUCCAAACCAAAACGAAGCACGCAUCUUCUUGCUGAUGCACGUGAAAUGCCUUCCCCCAGGUCUUGGCGCCUUUGCGGUAUUCUCCGUGGACCCUGUGGCUGAGCUUAGGAAGGGCUGGAGCCAGGCCAUAUGUCACAUGUCCCUCGUACCUACCCUGAGGCCUGGUGUGCACCUUUUCUGCAGGUAUUUAAAAACUAUAGCUGCUGUGGUUCUUGUAUUUUCUUUUUAAUAGUGCUGUUUCCUCCUUCCUCACUGAGAUGAUGGAACUUCUUGGGCCGGUCCUUUUACCCAGUUGGCCAGAAACCAGUUUGCCCAAGGAGGAAAGUAGGAAUAUGAUGUAAUAAACUGCCAACUCUGCCCUUAUCCAGCAGUGAGAUCCUGGAUUUGUGACUUAGCUAACCUGCCUCAUUGUUUAUAAAGGGGGGUUGUUUUUAAAACCUAGCCAAAGGAUUGAUUUCACUAAACGAAAUAAUCCAUAUAAGUAAUACCUGGUCCAGUGGAUGGAUACCUGUAAGUGAGAGGUAUUUCUUGGGCCCUGACUAAGCCCAGUCUUGGACUCUGAAAUAUUUAUUGUGACCUCCGUCCAGACAGGUUGCCUUGCUUAAUCCCGGACUCUAGGAUACUUAAAGUCACCUGGAAAGAUAUUCCCCUCUGUAAACAACGAUGCUGCUAUGAAUAUGACAAGAUUUAGGAAACCUGAAUCUUUUCCUUCCCUGAUUAUAUGUCAGGGAUGCUUGCAGGAAAGUUUCCAGAAAGAAUGUCUUGAAGGAAUCCCAAGCUUUUUGUGGGUAAUCCACAUGUUUCUGUGAGUUGUGUGGCUGUUACAGAUUCUGUGCUGUGAUCUGCUGAAGUCGGUGUCUGAUUACAAGACCAGCAUGUCUCAGUGUGAACAUUAAAGGAUGUCCUACGUCUGUAAAAACCCUGAUGUCAAAAAGGAAAUGCCUACGGGCUUCAGCAAAACCCAGCAGACCGGUUUCUUUGCUGCAGAACUUCUCGGGACCUUUAACAAGUGACUGUGUAUGUUGUGUUUCAGAGAAAAUAGCGAAGGUCACUUUUUAUGGACUGUCCGACCCUAGAUCCUUUUCAGAGAGCACUCCCUCCUCCCCAAGCACUUAUGUUCUUUGGGACACACUUGGGGAAAUGUAGGCCUAACCUGAUGCUCCUUUUGUGGUGAUGGGGGAGGAGCACGGGGCACACCAUUGUGUGAGUGUGUACGUUUCAGGUUUCUGCACACCUUCUCUUCCUCCAGGCAAAGUUGAGUGCUGCCCUCUCCUGGAGUCCUGGGGGGCAGCCUGGUAGAGUAAGAAAAUGGGGUUCCAUUGCAGUUUCUCCUCUUAGCUCUGUGAUCCUGGGCAGGUUAGCUUCAAUCUCCCAGGUAUGAUAUGUGGUUUAUACAACUUCCCGAGCUGUGGCAAUGGUAAUACACAUACAGGUGGGGCUGGAGUAGGUGCGGGGAUAUGCCAGCUUCCCUUCCCAAUCCUGGGUCGGAUCCACCACUGGGGACAAUGAAUGAACGCGCUCGCCCCCUAGUGGGCAUUGCUGUCUCUGCCACCCUAGUCCACCCAUCCUGAUAGAGGACUGGAUGGCUCCUAUAUUGUUGGCUCCUUAGCGACUGUUCCCCAUUGGUCUGUGGGUGAUUCAUUUUAGACAAAUGAAUCAAUGAAUUAUUUGAAUGAAGAUGAUACAUUUGAGAGCAGAGAUUGUGGGUUCUCUCACCAGCAAGAGACGAAGUACCAUCCUCAUUAUACAGAUGCUGGCCUUAAGGUCACACAAUGUGACAGAUAGGGUGACUCAGGGACUCAUGGAUGGGCUGUUUCCACCCAGCUGAAUGCUCUGUAGACAACCAGAAUAUUCGCUAUAUCAGAUGUGGCUCCUAAAUGGGAGAGAAGAGAGGUGUGAUGUGCCUGAUUCUACCUAUGAUUCAAGUUUAUCUCUAAUCCCUAUCGGCCUUGCAAAUAGUAGGCAGUCAGUGAUAACGAAAGUUAUUGUUCACCAAGAGCACGGUCUGCCAGAAACCAUUGCAAGGGUGUGACUUCUUUAAUCCUUACGAAGAGCCUUGGAAGAUGGCAGACUGUCUCUCAGUCCCGCGUUGGAGCAGAGAAAACAAGCCCAGAGCAUUUGAAUAACUUGCUUAAGAUCACACAGCAAAUGCAGGGCAAAAUCAGCAAUUAGACCAACACACUCUGAUUUCGUACCUCGCCACUCCCCUCAACCCCCCCCCCCCCCCCCCCCGCCUUUUUAAACAUCCCUUGUCGGCCACCUUAGUGGCAACAAGCAUUUACUGGGUCCCCGCUAUGUGCCCACCCCUGUGCCAGGAGCUGUGGAGGGCACAAAAGAUUCAUGAAACUAUUUGGUAUCUAUGAUUGCUCCAAAAUUGGUUUUGACUUCUUAAUAAAUGGUAAAAUCCCCUGAGGAAAAAACUGAAUGAGGACGUUUAAAAGAGCAAGUUUUUCAGAGUAGGAAGAAACUGGUGAAUAGCAGGCUGAAGGGCAAACAUGUGUGAAAAAAGAACCAAUGCAGGGAAAACCAACACUGUGUUAGUGACACAUAGGAUCUGUGUGCCUGUGAGCAGGAGGACGGCACAGGGGAGGAAGCCUGCAGGCUCCCGGGGACCAUCAGGCAGUGCUAGAGGAGGAAGCCCUGCCUUGGGGGCAGCGUGGACCGGAAUAGAAGCCGCUGUGUCAGGCAGGUGCAAAUUGGAAGUGGGGAGAUGCAGAGGCACGAUCUGAGGAAUACAUUUACCCAAAUAUUGGAUAAAUAAUAAAUUAUUAAAUAUGUUAAAAGCUAAAAGGA